GAUGAACGCUGGCGGCGUGCCUAAUACAUGCAAGUCGAGCGAACGGACGAGAAGCUUGCUUCUCUGAUGUUAGCGGCGGACGGGUGAGUAACACGUGUAUAACCUACCUAUAAGACUGGGAUAACUUCGGGAAACCGGCGCUAAUACCGGAUAAUAUUUUGAACCGCAUGGUUCAAAAGUGAAAGACGGUCUUGCUGUCACUUAUAGAUGGAUCCGCGCUGCAUUAGCUAGUUGGUAAGGUAACGGCUUACCAAGGCAACGAUGCAUAGCCGACCUGAGAGGGUGAUCGGCCACACUGGAACUGAGACACGGUCAAGACUCCUACGGGAGGCAGCAGUAGGGAAUCGUCCGCAAUGGGCGAAAGCCUGACGGAGCAACGCCGCGUGAGAGAUGAAGGUCUUCGGAUCGUAAAACUCGGUUAUUAGGGAAGAACAUAUGUGUAAGGAACUGUGCACAUCUUGACGGUACCUGAUCAGAAAGCCACGGCUAACUACGUG
rnacentral:rRNA from 1 species